AUUAAAUCAGUUAUAAUUUAUUUGAUAGUACCUUUACUUGGAUAACUGUGGUAAUUCUAGAGCUAAUACAUGCUAAAAACCUCGACUUCGGGAGGGGUGUAUUUAUUAGAUUAAAAACCAAUGCCCUUCGGGGCUCUUUGGUGAUUCAUAAUAACUAAACGAAUCGCAUGGCCUUGCGCCGGCGAUGGUUCAUUCAAAUUUCUGCCCUAUCAACUUUCGAUUGUAGAGUAGUGGUCUACAAUGGUUUUAACGGGUAAGGGGAAUUAGGGUUCUAUUCCGGAGAGGGAGCCUGAGAAACGGCUACCACAUCCAAGGAAGGCAGCAGGCGCGCAAAUUACCCAAUCCCGACAUGGGGAGGUAGUGACAAUAAAUACUGAUACAGGGUUCUUUUGGAUCUUGUAAUUGGAAUGAGUACAAUGUAAAUACCUUAACGAGGAACAAUUGGAGGGCAAGUCUGGUGCCAGCAGCCGCGGUAAUUCCAGCUCCAAUAGCGUAUAUUAAAGUUGUUGCAGUUAAAAAGCUCGUAGUUGAACCUUGGAUCUGGCUGAUCUGUCCUCCUAAUCGAGCGCACGGAUUCGGCUGGAUCUUUCCUUCUGGGGAACCCUAUGCCCUUUACUGGGCGUAGUGGGGAACCAGGACUUUUACUUUGAAAAAAUUAGAGUGUUCAAAGCAGGCCUUUGCUCGAAUACAUUAGCAUGGAAUAAUAGAAUAGGACGU
rnacentral:rRNA from 1 species